UGCCAGCCGCCGCGGUAAUACGGAGGGUGCGAGCGUUAAUCGGAAUUACUGGGCGUAAAGCGCGCGUAGGUGGUCUGUUAAGUCGGAUGUGAAAGCCCCGGGCUCAACCCUGGAACUGCCUUUAAAACUGUUAGUCUUGAGAUCGAGAGAGGUGAGUGGAAUUCCAAGUGUAGAGGUGAAAUUCGUAGAUAUUUGGAGGAACACCAGUGGCGAAGGCGGCUCACUGGCUCGAUACUGACGCUGAGGUACGAAAGUGUGGGGAGCAAACAGGAUUAGAUA
rnacentral:rRNA from 1 species